ACCCUUAUUUGGGCAAUGAAUAUCAUACGGCUAAAACACGUUCGGCUACGACUACCGAACAUGUUUUGAAGUAUUCUUCGUUUAAAAACAAAAUAAAAUGUGUACCAAACACCAUAUCAUAUUAUUUAGCGUUAUAAUUUUGUUUAUUGUCACUAGCUUUCAAAUUGGCAGUACUAGUAGUAAAUCAGUUGACAUAGGAGUACCCUUUAAAGUUGAAGUGCACAAUCCUGAUAGUGGUUGUAAAAUAUACUGUGUCCACCCUUUUGAAACUGUGGGACCUGCCAACAUAUGGAAGACAAUUAAGGUACAGGCUACCUGUAGUGCCAGCCAUGGGAUGUGUUCCAAUCCCGGUGUCAUUGUUGGGGAAAGUGAAGAUGCGUUGGAAGGGAGCUGUACCAAGGGUUGGCUACCAAGUUAUGCUCCCUGGGAGAGUAACUAUGCAAGCCUGUCCCCUUUCAGAAACUCCUGCUUUGCCGUUGUACAUGACGCAGGAUUCAAACUUGAUGUUAAUGCUCACAGUGCAUAUCUGAAUUACAUGGCUCUUUUCAUAUUUGGCAUUAUUUUGUUUUUUACUGCCCCAACAUUGAGCCAAAAUGUGCUUUUUUACUAUUCAUCAGGCAUCGGUAUAGGUAUCAUUGCAUCACUCCUUGUACUUGUUUACAUCUUAAGCAGAAUGGUACCAAAGAGAAGUAGUGCGUUCGCCGUGGUAGUAGUUGGUUGGUCAGGAGCUCUAUACAUUCUACACUGGGUGUUUGAAAACAUUACAAAUGGAGACUACCAAAAUUAUGUGUUUGGUUAUAUUGCGAUGUCCGCUUUAAUAAGCUUUGUUGUGUGCUACUACUACGGGCCCAACUAUCACGAGCGAGCCCAGAAUCUGGUUCAGUGGGCAAUCCAGCUGUGUGCGUUGCUGUGUAUACAUCAAAGUACCCAUGAUGAGCAUGCCGCCGUAGCCAUGAUCGUUGGUCUGCUUUUUGUAAAAAAUUUCCCUUACAAAAUAUUUCAUUUCUCAUUAUCAAAGUUUCGAUGGAAAUGGAAAUCCCACAAGAAACGCAGAUUCCUGACGGAAGAAGAAUAUGAGGAGCAGGCGCGCAAGGAAACUUUGUCAGCUUUAGAAGAACUGAGAAAUCAAUGCUUAAGUCCCCAGGUAGAAACUUGGAAAAUGGUGUCCCGCUUAGAAUCUCCUAAAAGGUUUGCCCAGUUCGUGUUGGGUGACAGUCAUUUGUCUGGAGAUGAGCUCGAUGCUUACGACUCGGACAUUUCAAUGUUGGAGGAUGACGAAGACAACACAUCAGAUAUUAUGACAGAUGAUCUAAGUCUUCUGAUUGACGAAGCUGAGGCCUUGAUAUGAAAGAAUUUGGACACAAACUGAGAGCUAGAUCCCAGAGUGGCAUCCCAUACGAUAACCAUGGUAAAGAGGAUUACGAUGAGUAUGUUUGAAUUCUGGGUAUGGAUGUUGAGGUUUAUAGUCAAUGUUCUUAAACUCAGUUACAGUGAACAAUCAAACAUUGUUGUGAGACAAAUUUGUACUGUUAACAAAUGUUAGAUUUUUUGUGUUUAAAAUCCAUUGUUAAUAAAGCUGUGUAGAAAUAAAGGUAUUUUAAAGUUA
rnacentral:misc_RNA from 1 species